rnacentral:rRNA from 1 species
GGGUCAGGAGGCUGGUCGUGCCACCGGUACGUACUGGUCUCACUGAUUCCUCCUUCCUGAAGAACCGUAAUGCCAUUAAUUUGGUGUUGCGGGGAAACAGGACUGUUACUUUGAAAAAAUUAGAGUGUUUAAAGCAAGCUAACGCUUGGAUACAUAGCAUGGAAUAAUGAAAUAGGACGAUCGAUCCUAUUUUGUUGGUUUCUAGGAUUGACGUA